rnacentral:rRNA from 1 species
GCAGCACGGGAAUUCGGUCUGGUGGCGAGUGGCGAACGGGUGAGUAAUGUAUCGGAACGCCUAGUAGCGUUAACCAUGAAAGCGUAGCCAAUACCGAUGCCCCUUCGGGAAAGCGGGGGACCUUCGGGCCUCGCACUAUUAGAGCGGCCGAUAUCGGAUGAAGUGUUGGUGGCACCGUGGCUCACCAAGGCGACGAUCCGUAGCUGGUUUGAGAGGACGACCAGCCACAUCGGGACUGAGACACGGCCCAGACUCCUACGGGAGGCAGCAGUGGGGGAAUUUUGGACAAUGGGAACCCCUGAUCCAGCCAUCCCGCGUGUGCGAUGAAGGCCUUCGGGUUGUAAAGCACUUUUGGCAGGAAGAAACGGCAUCGAUAAUAGCUCCCGUGCAACUGACGGUACCUGCAGAAUAAGCACCGGCUAACUACGUGCCAGCAGCCGCGGUAAUACGUAGGGUGCAAGCGUUAACGAACUACUGGCGCAAAGCGUGCGCAGGCGGUUCGGAAAGAAAGAUGUGAAAUCCCAGAGCUUAACUUUGAACUGCAUUUUUACCUGCCAGAUCAGAGGUGCCGAGAAGAACCCGCGUAGCAGUAGAAAUGCAGAUAUGCGAGGAACGAUGGCGAAGCAGUUCUGGGAUACACUGAUGCUCAUGGCAAUGUGGUAUAAAACAGGAUUAUACUGUCUACACGAAAACGAUGUCAACCAGCUGUUAGGCGCUCUCUGGGCCUUGGUAGCGGCAGCUAACGCGUGAAGUUGACCGCCUGGGGAGUACGGUCGCAAGAUUAAAACCGCGAAUUGACGGGGACCUGCACAAGCGGAUGAUGUGGGAUUAAUUCGAUGCAACGCGAAAAACCUUACCUACCCUUGGAUAUACGUCUGGAAUCCCGAAGAGAUUUGGGGAGGUGCUCGCAAGAGAACCGGAACACAGGUGCUGCAUGGCUGUCGUCAGCUCGGGUCGAGAUGUUGGGUUAAGUCCCGCAAUGAGCGCAGCCCUUGUCAUUAGUUGCUACGAAAGGGCACUCUGAAUGACUGCCGGUGACAAACCGGAGGAAGGUGGGGAUGACGUCGUCUCGCAUUCUUAUGGGUAGGGUUUCCACACGUCAUACAAUGGUCGGGACAGAGGGUCGCCAACCCGCGAGGGGAGCCAAUCCCAGAAACCCGAUCGUAGUCCGAUCGCGGUCUGCAACUCGACUGCGAAGUCGGAAUCGCUAGCACCGCGGAUCAGUAUGUCGCGGUGAAUGAUGUUCGGUCUGUACACACCGCCCGUCACACCAUGUGGCGGGUUUUACUCAGAAGUAGUUAGCCUAACCGUUAGUGAAUACCGUGAUUCAUGACUUGGGGUGAAGUCGUAACAAGGU